rnacentral:rRNA from 1 species
UACGAAGGGGUCGUAGCGUUGCUCGGAAUUACUGGGCGUAAAGGGCGCGUAGGCGGCUUGAUAAGCGUGCGGUGAAAGCCCGGGGCUCAACCCCGGGUCCGGCCGUGCGAACUGUCGAGCUGGAGCACUGUAGAGGCAGGUGGAAUUCCGGGUGUAGCGGUGGAAUGCGUAGAGAUCCGGAAGAACACCGGUGGCGAAGGCGGCCUGCUGGGCAGUGGCUGACGCUGAGGCGCGACAGCGUGGGGAGCAAACAGG